rnacentral:lncRNA from 1 species
UUAACAAAAUAAGAACCCAAAAUUCCCAGUUUUCAAUCUUUGUUUAAAGGUUCGAUGAGCUCGAUGGCGGCCAUGGAAGCACCAAUUUUAUCUCAUUGCAGUCCGUUUGCUUCAUCCAAGAAGGUAAGGAAUACCCCUACUAGCCCAAUUGAAUAAUUAUUCGUUCUAACGAUCAAUCCAAACUCACCAAUCUAUUUCUCCGAUCAAACCUCCGAUGAGGGCUUGCGUCCAACUGUUGCAGACAUGCCCAAGCCUCAACAGCUCAUUCGAUUCAUAGCGAUCCAUG